GAUCUGGAAAAUGCUCGUCAAUUUGUAGAUUGUUUCUCUUUAAAAUAACCUGCACAGUGGUUUUCUUCUGCAGAAAUGGCGAUCGCAGGACCUGUAACUCCUGGUCAGGUUUCAUUUUUCCUUGGGACCGUCCCAAUAUUUGUGGCAUGGAUUUACUCGAAGCUACUGGAAUACA